GCAAAUAUAGUUUAACAAAAACAUUAGAUUGUGAGUCUAAAUAUAGAAGUUUAAACCUUCUUAUAUGCC
ensembl:Mt_tRNA